rnacentral:rRNA from 1 species
UUAAAUUGAAGAGUUUGAUCAUGGCUCAGAUUGAACGCUGGCGGCAGGCCUAACACAUGCAAGUCGAGCGGUAGCACAGAGAGCUUGCUCUCGGGUGACGAGCGGCGGACGGGUGAGUAAUGUCUGGGAAACUGCCUGAUGGAGGGGGAUAACUACUGGAAACGGUAGCUAAUACCGCAUAACGUCGCAAGACCAAAGUGGGGGACCUUCGGGCCUCAUGCCAUCAGAUGUGCCCAGAUGGGAUUAGCUAGUAGGUGGGGUAACGGCUCA